CAGUCCCCUUCGCCAACUGCCAUCUUUACAACUCCACCAGUCCGGCUCUCAGUAUAAUCAUUACAACGAUAAAAUCAAAUAAAACUACCCACUCAAGCGCUAACCAAAUAAAUUCUAUUGAAAUAAACAUAAAAAUCAAAUCAAAUCCUAUAGUGGCGACAAUUACAAUGAAGAUGACUGAAGCAACUGUGCCAUGGCGACUGAAGUAGCAACGUCUAGUGACGGUAACGACUGAAGCAGCAAUGUCAAGUUAUGGCAAUUGAAGUUGCAACUUUGGGUGACGGUAGCGACAGUAACAAUAACUCAAUCACUAGAAAAUCUUUCACCCUUCAAUUGCUAAAAAUCUCACCUAUAACUCAUAACUUAGGUGGAGUUUAAAUUAGCAUAAUUAAGUAUGGUUCAAUGGUGUUGUUCAAUCCAUACAGCCCCACCCACCGCUUAUUUGCUACAUCCCAUUUUCGGGCUCUGGUUAGAUAGUUAAAGAGAAAACUAAAUUUGGUGGUGAGGAGUUUGUAAAUGGUGAUAAGGAUCGAGCAGUACCAUUAAUGACGGUGGUGCGACAAUGAAGCAAAAGAGGCUCAUCUGGUGGUGCAAAGAUGGGAUUUGACUGUGAGAUCGAUGAUGGUUGAGCAUGGUGGUAGAGACGGUAAUGGUGGUAUGGAUUUGAAGGAGGUGUUAAAUAGGUAAUGUGGCAGAGAUGUGAAGUCGAUGAUGGCAGAGGAGUGGGAUGGUACGUAGGUGAAAACCAGGCGCCCAAGUCAAGUAAGUGGUGGCCCAAACAGGCAGAAGAAGGGCUGACUCGCACUACGAUGCGCCGUAGGUGGAGGGCGGCGGAGUAGAAAAAGAGGAGCAAAUGGAGAGGAUGGGGAAGCUGAUAUAAUAUUGUCGUCAUGCGCGAUCCUUAAGGCAAUCUCUUGAUAAUUGAGCUUUCUUGUUUUUUUUGUUUGUUUUUAUUUUUCACUUUUUUUGUAAUCUCUGUAUUACAAGACAAAACAAGUCCACCAAACGUUUCACAUAUUUUUAUUGAUUUCUUAAACAUAAAAAUAGAAUUUUAUCUUUAAAUUACUAAUAAAUAAAAUACAUUUUUAUA